UACGUAGGCAGCAAGCGUUGUUCGGAAUUACUGGGCGUAAAGAGUGUGUAGGUGGUGUCGUAAGUUUGGUGUGAAAUCUCCCGGCUUAACUGGGAGGGUGCGCCGAAGACUGCGAUGCUGGAGUAUGGGAGAGGAAAGCGGAAUUCCUGGUGUAGCGGUGAAAUGCGGCAGAUAUCAGGAAGAACACCCGUGGCUAAGGCGGCUCUCUAGUACGGUACUGACGCUGAGACGCGAAAGCGUGGGAGC
rnacentral:rRNA from 1 species